rnacentral:rRNA from 1 species
UACGUAGGGUGCAAGCGUUGUCCGGAAUUAUUGGGCGUAAAGAGCUCGUAGGCGGUCUGUCGCGUCUGCUGUGAAAACUCGGGGCUUAACCCCGGGCCUGCAGUGGGUACGGGCAGACUAGAGUGCGGUAGGGGAGAUUGGAAUUCCUGGUGUAGCGGUGGAAUGCGCAGAUAUCAGGAGGAACACCAAUGGCGAAGGCAGAUCUCUGGGCCUAACUGACGCUGAGGAGCGAAAGCAUGGGGAGCGAACAGG